rnacentral:rRNA from 1 species
CAGUAGCCGCGGUAAUACGUAGGUGGCAAGCGUUGUCCGGAAUUAUUGGGCGUAAAGGGCUCGCAGGCGGUUUCUUAAGUCUGAUGUGAAAGCCCCCGGCUCAAUCGGGGAGGGUCACUGGAAACUGGGAAACUUGAGUGCAGAAGAGGAGAGUGGAAUUCCACGUGUAGCGGUGAAAUGCGUAGAGAUGUGGAGGAACACCAGUGGCGAAGGCGACUCUCUGAUCUGUAACUGACGCUGAGGAGCGAAAGCGUGGGGAGCGAACAGGAUUAGAUACCCAUGUAGUCCCUGUCUCUUAUAC